rnacentral:lncRNA from 1 species
CCUUAGAGAACUAGCUGUGCAUUUCCAAUGCAAAGAAUAAAGUCCCAAGAGGAGCAUGAAGUUUCCAUUCAAUUCUGGAGGCAGGGAAGGCUAGCAUCCUAACUCCAGGUGGCCACCACACCAUGUUGGCAGCUGGCAUGGAGUGUGAAGAACGCUGAGCCUGGGAAGCACAGUCCAUCAUCAGAGACCUUCUAGGACAACAGAGGUCACUCCUUAGCUGCUUUGUACCCAACGUUUCCUGUCAUCAUUCAUACAUUUGGAACAGAUAUUGGCAAAGCAAAGGUUGACUUGGACUAUAAAACAGAAAGAACUAGAAAGGGACCUCCCGUGACCCUGUCGGGGAUCCAGCUGGACUCUGGCAAAGUCCCUGAGAUUCAUGGACACUUCUUCACGGGAAAUGCUAAUUCUACUCUGCUAGGCCACUCUCCAGAGAAAUUCCUCUCAAGUAUCAGCAGUGACCAUUGCACUAACACUAAGCCAAAGCCCCUAUGCUGCCUGGAAUAUUUAUUUACAUCACCUAUCUAAUGGUUUUUAGAUUAAAAUAAUAAUCUUGAUUU